rnacentral:rRNA from 1 species
GACGAACGCUGGCGGCGUGCUUAACACAUGCAAGUCGAGCGAGGACCCUCCUUCGGGAGGGUGCCCUAGCGGCGAACGGGUGAGUAACACGUGCGCAACCUGCCCUCAGCUCUGGGAUAAAUCCCGGAAACCGGGGCUAAUACCGGACACGACCUCUACGGGCCCGCGCGGUGGAGGAGAGAUUUUCGGCUGUGGAUUGGCUCGCGGCUGAUCCGGUAGCUCGUGGGCUAGUGGCCGACCAAGCGGAUGACGGAUAGGCGGCCUGGGAGGGCGACCGCCGACCCGGGGCCUGAGGGAGGGCCCAGUCUCCUACGGGAGGCAGCGGGGGGGAGUAUGGCGGAGUGGGGGCGCGCCUGACACGACGGCGCCGGGUGCGGAACGAAGUGUUACGGGUUGUAAACCUCUUUCAGCGGAGACGUAGCGGAAGUGACGGUACCUGCAGAGGAAGCACCGGCCAACUACGUG